rnacentral:misc_RNA from 1 species
GAUGAAGAACGUAGCGAAAUGCGAUAAGUAAUGCGAAUUGCAGAAUUCCAGUGAGUCAUCGAAUCUUUGAACGCACAUUGCGCCCUUUGGUAUUCCGAAGGGCAUGCCUGUUCGAGCGUCAUUGCUGCCCUCAAGCACGGCUUGUGUGUUGGGCCUCCGUCCUCCUCCCGGGGGACGGGCCCGAAAGGCAGCGGCGGCACCGCGUCCGGUCCUCGAGCGUAUGGGGCUUCGUCACCCGCUCUUGUAGGCCCGGCCGGCGCUUGCCGACACAUCAAUCUUUUUUCCAGGUUGACCUCGGAUCAGGUAGGGAUACCCGCUGAACUUAAGCAUAUCAAUAAGCGGAGGA